GUACACGCUGUGACUAGCAUAUCAAUAAGCGGAGGAAAAGAAACUAACAAGGAUUCCCUCAGUAACGGCGAGUGAAGCGGGAAGAGCUCAAAUUUGAAAUCUUGAAAGGUCACCUUUCACGAAUUGUAGUUUAAAGAAGUGUUUUCUGUUACGAUCGUAAUAUAAGUUCUUUGGAAUAGGACAUCACUAGAGGGUGAGAAUCCCGUAUAUUGACCGAUUAUUGUCAGCUUUGUGAUACACUUUCAAAGAGUCGGAUUGUUUGGGAAUGCAGUCCAAAAUGGGUGGUAAAUUUCAUCUAAAGCUAAAUAUUGGCGAGAGACCGAUAGCGAACAAGUACCGUGAGGGAAAGAUGAAAAGAACUUUGAAAAGAGAGUUAAACAGUACGUGAAAUUGUCAAAAGGGAAGCGUUCGACACCAGUGUUGUUUUCUCGAAAAUCAACCUAAUGCUAGCUUUAUGCAUGUUUGUUUAGACCUAAUCAGCUAUCUUGCAUGUUCUAUUGUUUGCAGUGGUGCACUUUUCAGUUUACAGGUCAACAUCAGUUUUUUUUACCGUAAAAAGGUUAAUGAAAGGUAGCUCAUGGCUCGGUCGUGAAGUGUUAUAGUCUUUUGCCUAUGCAGGUAGGAGAGACUGAGGUCUGCAGUGUAGGCUAUUUGGCUAGAUACUCAGGUGCUAUGUGAUACCAUUUUCAUAAACAACUUGUUGAUUAUAGUUUGUCUAUUGCAUACUCGCUUGUACUAUCAUACCUACGCUUAGGAUGUUGAGUAGCGACAUACGCAC
rnacentral:rRNA from 1 species